UGCCAGCAGCCGCGGUAAUACGAAGGGUGCUAGCGUUGUUCGGAAUUACUGGGCGUAAAGAGCAUGUAGGCGGUCCGUUAAGUUGGAUGUGAAAGCCCGGGGCUCAACCCCGGAAGUGCAUCCAAAACUGGCGGACUAGAAUCUCGGAGGGGGUCGGAGAAUUCCCGGUGUAGAGGUGAAAUUCGUAGAUAUCGGGAGGAAUACCAGUGGCGAAGGCGCCGACCUGGACGAUGAUUGACGCUGAGGUGCGAAAGCAUGGGGAGCGAACAGGAUUAGAUA
rnacentral:rRNA from 1 species